rnacentral:rRNA from 1 species
AUUGAACGCUGGCGGAAUGCUUUACACAUGCAAGUCGAACGGCAGCACGGACUUCGGUCUGGUGGCGAGUGGCGAACGGGUGAGUAAUGUAUCGGAACGUGCCCAGUCGUGGGGGAUAACGUAGUGAAAAUUACGCUAAUACCGCAUACGAUCUAUGGAUGAAAGCGGGGGAUCGCAAGACCUCGCGCGAUUGGAGCGGCCGAUAUUAGAUUAGGUAGUUGGUGGGGUAAAGGCCCACCAAGCCAACGAUCUGUAGCUGGUCUGAGAGGACGACCAGCCACACUGGAACUGAGACACGGCCCAGACUCCUACGGGAGGCAGCAGUGGGGAAUUUUGGACAAUGGGCGAGAGCCUGAUCCAGCCAUUCUGCGUGCAGGAUGAAGGCCCUCGGGUUGUAAACUGCUUUUGUACAGAACGAAAAGGUUUCUACUAAUACUAGGAGCUCAUGACGGUACUGUAAGAAUAAGCACCGGCUAACUACGUGCCAGCCGCCGCGGUAA